rnacentral:sRNA from 1 species
UCAUAGUCCACAAACGCUAAGCAUAAUGG